rnacentral:rRNA from 1 species
AGUGAACGCUGGCGGUAGGCCUAACACAUGCAAGUCGAACGGCAGCACAGUAAGAGCUUGCUCUUACGGGUGGCGAGUGGCGGACGGGUGAGGAAUACAUCGGAAUCUACUUUUUCGUGGGGGAUAACGUAGGGAAACUUACGCUAAUACCGCAUACGACCUACGGGUGAAAGCAGGGGAUCUUCGGACCUUGCGCGAUUGAAUGAGCCGAUGUCGGAUUAGCUAGUUGGCGGGGUAAAGGCCCACCAGGGCGACGAUCCGUAGCUGGUCUGAGAGGAUGAUCAGCCACACUGGAACUGAGACACGGUCCAGACUCCUACGGGAGGCAGCAGUGGGGAAUAUUGGACAAAGGGCGCAAGCCUGAUCCAGCCAUACCGCGUGGGUGAAGAAGGCCUUCGGGUUGUAAAGCCCUUUUGUUGGGAAAGAAAAGCAGCAGGUUAAUACCCCGCUGUUCUGACGGUACCCAAAGAAUAAGCACCGGCUAACUUCGUG